rnacentral:snoRNA from 1 species
UGACAAUGGUGGCGAUAUUUCUCAACAGCAGUUCGCCUAGCACAUGUUGCUACUUUGGGUCUGAGUGA